rnacentral:lncRNA from 1 species
AGGAACUGGAUAUUCUUUGAUAGUUUGAUGAAUUUCCAACCUCAUCAAUGUAGAGACUCCUUCCAAAAAUGUAUAUUGUAACCCAGCCAUGCCUUCUUAUCCUGUGAUGUUCUGGUCCAUAUCAUCCCCUAACUCUUCUACUCUGGGGCCACUCAAUUAUUUACAGGAAAACUUUGAUUAUCUGGAAAUCAGUCUUCCAGAACCCUCAACCAUCUGGAACUGCUUUGAACCUGAAGUCUGAAGGAAGAGAAGCAGACCCUGUGGAGUAAGCAAAAGUGAAAAUUUUUGUUGAAGACCCAAAGAUUUUAUUCAAUAGUUUGUGAUUAGUCAAUGUGGUGAUCAGAAGUAAAGAAGUGCCAUGAGUGACUAGUAAGAGGCCAGACUUCAAGAAAUCAACCACACCGAGAAGUGUGAGAGGAGUGAUAGAUCAAAGAAAUAUGGCAGCAUAUAAAAUGCAUUCUCACAGUGACCAUGUCCAAAAAAUGGCCCAUCAUUGUGCACAUUUAGUCCCUCAUCUCUUUAUCAGGAGGCUGCUACUCUCCUGUGCCUAUGAAGCAACUGAAGCAACAGACUAUAUGUGGAAUUUGUGCUUGGAUUCUGAGUCAACAUGAAGCAUAUCUAGAAUGCCACUGCUUAUCUUGAAAGGAAGGAAACAGUCAUUUUGUUCCAGACAUAUUCAAAUACAAACAGUUGAAAGAAUGAUAAUUUUUUUUAAAAAGCCUUCAUUGUGCCAGUUUGAAUCAUUUGAUACUUUUAUUUGGUUGAAACUCUAUCUCUUUGAAAAUGUCCUCAUCUCUGCUUAG